AUUGAACGCUGGCGGCAUGCUUUACACAUGCAAGUCGAACGGCAGCACGGGGGCAACCCUGGUGGCGAGUGGCGAACGGGUGAGUAAUAUAUCGGAACGUGUCCGGGAAUGGGGGAUAACGUAGCGAAAGUUACGCUAAUACCGCAUAUGCCCUGAGGGGGAAAGUGGGGGAUCGCAAGACCUCACGUUUUCGGAGCGGCCGAUAUCAGAUUAGCUAGUUGGUGGGGUAAAGGCCCACCAAGGCGACGAUCUGUAGCUGGUCUGAGAGGACGACCAGCCACACUGGGACUGAGACACGGCCCAGACUCCUACGGGAGGCUG
rnacentral:rRNA from 1 species